CUUCAGGUAAACAGUUAGUCUACAGGUAAACAGUUAGUCUACAGGUAAACAGUUAGUCUUCAGGUAAACAGUUAAAUUAAAAGGUAAACAGUUAGUCUUCAGGUAAACAGUUAGUCUUCAGGUAAACAGUUAAAUUAACAGGUA